AGUGAACGCUGGCGGUAGGCCUAACACAUGCAAGUCGAACGGCAGCACAGUAAGAGCUUGCUCUUACGGGUGGCGAGUGGCGGACGGGUGAGGAAUACAUCGGAAUCUACUUUUUCGUGGGGGAUAACGUAGGGAAACUUACGCUAAUACCGCAUACGACCUACGGGUGAAAGCAGGGGAUCUUCGGACCUUGCGCGUUUGAAUGAGCCGAUGUCGGAUUAGCUAGUUGGCGGGGUAAAGGCCCACCAAGGCGACGAUCCGUAGCUGGUCUGAGAGGAUGAUCAGCCACACUGGAACUGAGACACGGUCCAGACUCCUACGGGAGGCAGCAGUGGGGAAUAUUGGACAAUGGGCGCAAGCCUGAUCCAGCCAUACCGCGUGGGUGAAGAAGGUCUUCGGGUUGUAAAGCCCUUUUGUUGGGAAAGAAAAGCAGCAGGUUAAUACCCCGCUGUUCUGACGGUACCCAAAGAAUAAGCACCGGCUAACUUCGUG
rnacentral:rRNA from 1 species